UUCGUAGGUGGCUUGCUAAGUCAGACGUGAAAUCCCUCAGCUUAACUGGGGAACUGCGUCUGAGACUGGUGAGCUUGAGUGCAGGAGAGGAACGCGGAAUUCCAGGUGUAGCGGUGAAAUGCGUAGAUAUCUGGAGGAACACCGGUGGCGAAGGCGGCGUUCUGGACUGCUACUGACACUGAUGAAGAAAGCCAGGGGGAGACAAACG
rnacentral:rRNA from 1 species